UGGACGAAUCCGGCAGGGAGGUGGACGAAUCCGGCAGGAAGGAGGGAGCAGCGGCGAGCUAGCACGGCGGGGAUCCCUCCGCGGCGGACGACGAGGCCGGGAGAAGCAGAGAGGAGGGGACGGGAGGCCGGCGGCGGAGUUCGUGCUGUCGGCGACGGGAGGACUGCGUGCCACUUCGAGGACGGCGGGGACGGGAGGAUGGCGACGGAGGGAGAAGGUCUUCGCCGCCAGGAGGUGCGCCGCUCGCCGGCGGGAGGAGUAGACGAGGCGGCGGCGGCGGGAGGAGGAACCCUAGGAG
rnacentral:lncRNA from 1 species